rnacentral:misc_RNA from 1 species
CCCGGUUUGGGGUCUUGCUUCCUCGCAGCGCAGGUGAUGCCUUGGUCUAGGAGCCGAUGAAGGACGGGACUAACACCGAUAUGCUUCGGGGAGCGGUAAGUACGCUUUGAUCCGGAGAUUUCCGAAUGGGGCAACCCAAUCAGCUUAGUCGCUGAUUACUUGACUAGUGAAUACAUAGCUAGCAAGAGGUAGACGCAGUGAACUGAAACAUCUUAGUAGCUGCAGGAAGAGAAAGAAACAUCGAUUCCCUGAGUAGCGGCGAGCGAAAAGGGAAGAGCCCAAACCAACAAGCAGGAUUUAUAUUUUUGAUUGUUUUUUGAAUUAUUUUGAUUUCAAUAGUG